UACGUAGGGACCGAGCGUUGUCCGGAAUCAUUGGGCGUAAAGAGCGUGUAGGCGGCUCGCUAAGUCUUGCGUGAAAUCUCGGGGCUCAACCCCGAGCGGUCGUGAGAAACUGGCGGGCUAGAGUGCGGGAGAGGAGAGUGGAACUGCGAGUGUAGAGGUGAAAUUCGUAGAUAUUCGCAAGAACACCAGUGGCGAAGGCGGCUCACUGGCCCGGUACUGACGCUGAGGUGCGAAAGCGUGGGGAGCAAACAGG
rnacentral:rRNA from 1 species